rnacentral:rRNA from 1 species
CCUACGGGGGGCAGCAGUGGGGAAUAUUGCACAAUGGGCGAAAGCCUGAUGCAGCGACGCCGCGUGAGGGAUGACGGCCUUCGGGUUGUAAACCUCUUUCAGCAGGGAAGAAGCGAAAGUGACGGUACCUGCAGAAGAAGCGCCGGCUAACUACGUGCCAGCAGCCGCGGUAAUACGUAGGGCGCAAGCGUUGUCCGGAAUUAUUGGGCGUAAAGAGCUCGUAGGCGGUUUGUCGCGUCUGCUGUGAAAGCCCGGGGCUCAACCCCGGGUCUGCAGUGGGUACGGGCAGACUAGAGUGCAGUAGGGGAGACUGGAAUUCCUGGUGUAGCGGUGAAAUGCGCAGAUAUCAGGAGGAACACCGAUGGCGAAGGCAGGUCUCUGGGCUGUAACUGACGCUGAGGAGCGAAAGCAUGGGGAGCGAACAGGAUUAGAUACCCUGGUAGUC